rnacentral:misc_RNA from 1 species
AAAAAACCUUUCUUAAAGGUUGAAUCUCCACUUGCGUUUCUUGCAACUCCUGAAAUUGAGAAGCAAAAAUCUUAAAAUUGUCACAGUGACCCACUCUCAAGCACUUCAGUAUGGGACAUUCAAAAGCAUGUAUUCCAGGGUAGAAGCUCUUUAAUUUUUGUAAUCUCCAAAGUUUCAAGGACGUCAAUUGAUGAAACACAAACUUAGGAGUUGCUUCUAAUCCUUCCUCAUUUGAAACAAUUUCCUCCAACCCACAAUCAUUAAUAAUUAUCUCUGCAAGUCGUGGAAGAUUUCUUGCAAUUGAAGGUGGAAAGAGACUAUUCAGACUAGGAC